CGUUCUGAGGAGUUUCCCCCUUGGCAGCCCUGAGCUGGCAGCUCCGGUAGUGACUGCUGGGCCCUGCUGGACGGCGGUCGCAUGCAGCUCCUAUGAGGCCCCUGCCGCCGGUCGGCGAUGUCCGGCUGGAGCUGUCGCCCCCGCCGCCGCUGUUGCCGGUGCCGGUUGUGAGCGGGUCUCCAGUCGGCUCCUCCGGGCGUCUCAUGGCCUCUAGCAGCUCCCUGGUGCCCGACCGGCUGCGCCUGCCGCUCUGCUUCCUGGGUGUCUUUGUCUGCUAUUUUUACUAUGGGAUCCUGCAGGAAAAGAUAACAAGAGGAAAGUAUGGGGAGGGAGCCAAACAGGAGACGUUCACCUUUGCCUUAACUUUGGUCUUCAUUCAAUGUGUGAUCAAUGCUGUGUUUGCCAAGAUCUUGAUCCAGUUUUUUGACACUGCCAGGGUGGAUCGUACCCGGAGCUGGCUCUAUGCUGCCUGUUCUAUCUCCUAUCUGGGUGCCAUGGUCUCCAGCAACUCAGCACUACAGUUUGUCAACUACCCAACUCAGGUCCUUGGUAAAUCCUGCAAGCCAAUCCCAGUCAUGCUCCUUGGGGUGACCCUCUUGAAGAAGAAGUACCCAUUGGCCAAGUACCUGUGUGUGCUGCUAAUUGUGGCUGGAGUGGCCCUUUUCAUGUACAAACCCAAGAAAGUUGUUGGGAUAGAAGAACACACAGUCGGCUAUGGAGAGCUACUCCUGGCCCCUGGCUCUAUUAAUGCCAUAGUGGGAAACCUGAAAUAUUUACAGCUCAGCUCUCAUUCUGGAGAAGAGAUAGCUCUGAGGGUUGUGGCUGAAUCCUGGUGUGAGGUCACGGAGAUCUCAGAGCAGAGAGCUAUUAUCGCUGACCCUGGAUGGACUGACUGGUGUUUCCCAGGACCACAUGCGGGCUCAUUACCAAACAGGCUCCAACCACAUGAUGCUGAACAUCAACCUUUGGUCGACAUUGCUGCUGGGAAUGGGAAUCCUGUUCACUGGGGAGCUCUGGGAGUUCUUGAGCUUUGCUGAAAGGUACCCUGCCAUCAUCUAUAACAUCCUGCUCUUUGGGCUGACCAGUGCCCUGGGUCAGAGCUUCAUCUUUAUGACGGUUGUGUAUUUUGGUCCCCUGACCUGCUCCAUCAUCACUACAACUCGAAAGUUCUUCACAAUUUUGGCCUCUGUGAUCCUCUUCGCCAAUCCCAUCAGCCCCGUGCAGUGGGUGGGCACUGUGCUUGUGUUCCUGGGUCUUGGUCUCGAUGCCAAGUUUGGGAAAGGAGCCAAGAAGACAUCCCACUAGGAAGAGAGAGACUACCUCCACAUCAAGAAUAUUUAAGUUAUUGUCUCAAACAGUGACAUCUCUUAGGAAAAUGGACUUAAUAGGAAUAUGGGACUGAGUUCCAGUCUUUUUUAAAAAAAUAAAAUCAAGCAAAAUCACAUAUUCUAAAAAAUGCACUUGGAUUUUAACAA